rnacentral:misc_RNA from 1 species
ACUUCUCUUGUAAAUGUUGUUGCAGUAAGUAUAUUAUUGCUUGUAUCAGAUAUUUCUCUUAUUAUUGCUUGUAUCAGAUAUUUCUCUCCCUCUGUUACCUUCUUGUGUUGAUCUAAUGGAACUGGCUUCUUGGCUUGUUUCUAGACUGGUGGAUAUAGUGAAGAUAUGAUUCCUACGGUAAGUUAUAUUUCAGAGGAGUUUUCCAUUUAUGUGAAUUAUCUUUCUAGAAGAUUUAUCAUUGCAUCUUGCAAAUAGGCAUAUUCUCAGAGUCAUUGGUUCUUUUUUCCUCUUCUAUCUAAUUUCUAUAGUGGUUUAUAUUUCUUGGGUACAUAUUAUGUUUACUUAGUAGUGUGUCAUUGUCAUUUCUUCUUCAGGUAGGAUUCAACAUGAAAAAAGUAACAAAG